GACACACAAUGCACAGGUAUAUGGCCUCCCUUUUUACAUGAGCGUCCAGGGAGUGAAGAGGAAACCAAAGGACUGAAAGCGUGGACAACAGAGUAGUGACAGUUCCGCCACCCUUUGUCAGCAGGCCACAUGGCUAAGUGGGAGCCAUAUGGAUGUGAGUCCUGGAAGCAAUUGCUCCCACCCCAAUAGAAUGGACCACUAUUUAGGCAAAUUACACCUUGUGUAAAGCUUGCUUAUGUAGCCAGGUGGAAACAUCCAACCAUGAUGCUGAGAUGUAAUUGAAAAGAGAGGGGUGAACUGAAGAAGUGCCUUUCACCUCCAGCCAUGAUUGUGAGGCCUCCCCAGCCAUGUGGAACUGUCCAGUGAAACCUCUUUUUCUUCCCAGUCUCGGAGCAAGAAAAAGAAACAUGAUGGAAUAACCCAAUUUAAAAUUGAAGCCGGGUGUGGUGGCUCAUGCCUGUAAUCCCAGCAUUUUGGGAGGCCGAG
rnacentral:lncRNA from 10 species